rnacentral:rRNA from 1 species
UAGGGAAUUUUCGUCAAUGGGGGCAACCCUGAACGAGCAAUGCCGCGUGAGCGAAGAAGGUCUUCGGAUUGUAAAGCUCUGUUGCCGGGGAAAAAGGAAGGAAAGAGGAAAUGCUUUUCUUUGGAUGGUACCCGGCCAGAAAGUCACGGCUAACUACGUGCCAGCAGCCCGGUAAUCGCUAUCU